GUGGGGAAUCUUAGACAAUGGGGGAAACCCUGAUCUAGCCAUGCCGCGUGAGCGAUGAAGGCCUUAGGGUUGUAAAGCUCUUUCAGCUGGGAAGAUAAUGACGGUACCAGCAGAAGAAGCCCCGGCUAACUCCGUGCCAGCAGCCGCGGUAAUACGGAGGGGGCUAGCGUUGUUCGGAAUUACUGGGCGUAAAGCGCACGUAGGCGGAUCAGAAAGUCAGAGGUGAAAUCCCAGGGCUCAACCUUGGAACUGCCUUCAAAACUCCUGGUCUGGAGUUCGAGAGAGGUGAGUGGAAUUCCGAGUGUAGAGGUGAAAUUCGUAGAUAUUCGGAGGAACACCAGUGGCGAAGGCGGCUCACUGGCUCGAUACUGACGCUGAGGUGCGAAAGCGUGGGGAGCAAACAGGAUUAGAAACCCCGGUAGUCC
rnacentral:rRNA from 1 species